UGUUGCGGGCGUGAUAGAGUCGGGGACAUGAUGGCAUUACAUUCGCUACCAUACGGUUGGGCUGUAAAUGGGAUGUUACGCAGUGGAUCGAAUCCGAAAACCACCGUGGAAUUGAUGAAAUCCAGUUUGGCUUUCAUCUUGCACAGCGCGUCCACUCCCAACAUGUAUUAAUUGCACCAUUGGCCAAGGUGACGUUGAGGUGGAUUUUGUCAAAUGGCCCAGUUUCAGCUUAACUAUGGAGGUAGCGAAUUUUUUGGAACAGAAACUGUCUGUAGCUCCGGAAUCUAAGAGACAAAUAAAGGAAAGAGGCCCCACCUUCACGGUGAUCGUAGGGAUGGAGGUCCUACGAGGUUCGUACGCCAGGAGUUUGCGACGGCCAACUAAGGCGCGAGGGCGUCUUCGAAUGAAGGUGGAUGAAGUUUCGUGUUCCAUUUCCUGAUAGAGGGAUUCUCGAUCACUGAUUUGCCUAAUUUCGCGGGCGACUAUGUCGAGGUCCAUAAAGCUUUGAGGAAUGGCCUUGAAUUUGCAUAAGUCGUAAGUUUUUCGGUUCAUGCGAGCCCAGAGCAGCACGAUGACCUCUGAUUCCGACAUGGACGUGCCGAGAAUUUUUGACUUCAGCUUGAUAUCCUCGAUGAAAGAUAUGAAUGAUUCCUCUGGCUUUUGCCACCGGUGUAGAUGCUCGGACACCAGAAGUGAGCGGUCGGCUGGUCCAAAGAAAUCAUCGAGUAUGCGGCCUCGAAUUACUUCCCAUGAUGGAGCAUAUUUAAUAUUGUGGGCCCACCAUCUCUGGAAGUCACCUUCACAAAAUUGAAUGAGGUGGGUCAUAAGAGGUUUUUCGUGGAGGAUGCCAAGAUCUGACAAUUUUUCUACGUCCUCCAUGAAUUGAAUGAUACCAGCUUUGGAAAUGCCGUCACACUUCGAAACGUUUUUAAA